ensembl:ncRNA W07G1.11 ncRNA
AGUUUAUAGUUGUAGUUGGUAGUUUGUGAUUUGUAGUUUGUAGUUUGUAGUUU